AACCGUUUAGCGGCACGCUUUCUUCCACAUUUUGAAGUAAACAAUAUACCCUUUUUGGAGUCGCCCAUCCUCGCGGUCAUGCUACAUGAUCGCCAGACCAGUACUCAGGUGGGUGACCACUGGGGAAUACCUGGUGUUGUAUGUUUUUUAG
rnacentral:rRNA from 1 species